UACGUAGGGGGCAAGCGUUGUCCGGAAUUAUUGGGCGUAAAGGGCGCGUAGGCGGCCCGGUAAGUCAAAGGUGAAAUCCCUCGGCUCAACUGAGGAACUGCCUUUGAAACUGUCGGGCUUGAGGCCGGGAGGGGGUAGCGGAAUUCCCAGUGUAGCGGUGAAAUGCGUAGAUACUGGGAGGAACACCAGUGGCGAAGGCGGCUACCUGGACCGGUUCUGACGCUGAUGCGCGAAAGCGUGGGUAGCAAACAGG
rnacentral:rRNA from 1 species